AUAUUAUAUAUCAAACCCUCUUUUGUUGAGUGGUUUGGAUGUGGGGUUGCUGGCCUCUUGAAGGGGUCAGCUUCCCUGAAAUGCAUUAGCAGAACAGCCUGUUCGUUCCAUUGGUGUGAUAACUAUCUACGCUAUUGAAUGAUGAAGGCAAGUUCAGCUUUCUAACCGUCUUUGGACAAUUUAUCAUCUAU
rnacentral:misc_RNA from 1 species